GGGUGCGAUCAUAUCAUCACUAAUGCGGCGUAUCCCAUUAGAACUCCGCAGUUAAGCGAGCUUGGGCUAGAGUAGUACUGGGAUGGAUGACCUCCUGGGAAGUCCUAGUGUUGCACCCU
rfam:Picea glauca, whole genome shotgun sequence.